rnacentral:misc_RNA from 1 species
GAACCAGAUUUUGAGGUAGAAGGCAGUGCACUGGUGGCCAGCGGCAUGCCAGAGGCGGAGGGCGACACUACUAUCAACGCCACCGAUGAGAAGAACAGCUACCCAAAGACGCCUAUCGGGCAUGCAGCAAAAGGAAUAAUAGGCCUCAAUACCGGCAUUGUUGAGCAGAUUAGAAGCCCGUAAGGUAGAAGAUCGUGCCGGCGAUGUGGAAGAAGACGAGAGAGACACGUUUGGGGAUUGGCGAGUGAAGGAGGGAUUUUGGAGGGAAGGAGGAGGGGAGAAGGGGUUUCAGAGAGACCACU